rnacentral:rRNA from 1 species
AUUGAACGCUGGCGGCAGGCUUAACACAUGCAAGUCGAGCGGAGCGAGGGUGCUUGCACCUUAGCUUAGCGGCGGACGGGUGAGUAAUGCUUAGGAAUCUGCCUAUUAGUGGGGACAACAUUUCGACAGGAAUGCUAAUACCGCAUACGUCCUACGGGAGAAAGCAGGGGAUCUUCGGACCUUGCGCUAAUAGAUGCGCCUAAGUCGGAUUAGCUAGUUGGUGGGGUAAAGGCCUACCAAGGCGACGAUCUGUAGGGGGUCUGAGAGGAUGAUCCGCCACACUGGGACUGAUACGCGGCCCAGACUCCUACGGGAGGCAGCAGUGGGGAAUAUUGGACAAUGGGCGGAAGCCUGAUCCAGCCAUGCCGCGUGUGUGAAGAAGGCCUUUUGGUUGUAAAGCACCUUAAGCGAGGAGGAGGCUACUAGUACUAAUACUACUGGAUAGUGGACGUUACUCGCAGAAUAAGCACCGGCUAACUCUGUGCCAGCCGCCGCAGUAAGAC